CCUACGGGGGGCAGCAGUGGGGAAUAUUGGACAAUGGGGGGAACCCUGAUCCAGCGAAGCCGCGUGAGUGAAGAAGUAUUUCGGUAUGUAAAGCUCUAUCAGCAGGGGAGAAAAUGACGGUACCUGACUAAGAAGCCCCGUCUAACUACGUGCCAGCAGCCGCGGUAAUAAGUAGGGGGCAGGCGUUAUCCGGAUUUACUGGGUGUAAAGGGAGCGUAGAGGGUGCAGCAAGUCUGAUAUGAAAGGUCGGGGCCCAACCCCGGGACUGCAUUGGAAACUGUUGAACUUGAGUAGAGGAGAGGUACGCGGAAUGCGUGGUGUAGCGGUGAAAUGCAUAGAUAUUAGGAGGAACACCAGUGGCGAAGGCGGCUUACUGGAGUGUAACUGACGUUGAGGCUCGAAAGCGUGGGGAGCGAACAGGAUUAGAUACCCUUGUAGUC
rnacentral:rRNA from 1 species